AGUGAACGCUGGCGAUAGGCCUAACACAUGCAAGUCGAACGGCAGCACAGUAAGAGCUUGCUCUUACGGGUGGCGAGUGGCGGACGGGUGAGGAAUACAUCGGAAUCUACUUUUUCGUGGGGGAUAACGUAGGGAAACUUACGCUAAUACCGCAUACGACCUACGGGUGAAAGCAGGGGAUCUUCGGACCUUGUGCGAUUGAAUGAGCCGAUGUCGGAUUAGCUAGUUGGCGGGGUAAAGGCCCACCAAGGCGACGAUCCGUAGCUGGUCUGAGAGGAUGAUCAGCCACACUGGAACUGAGACACGGUCCAGACUCCUACGGGAGGCAGCAGUGGGGAAUAUUGGACAAUGGGCGCAAGCCUGAUCCAGCCAUACCGCGUGGGUGAAGAAGGCCUUCGGGUUGUAAAGCCCUUUUGUUGGGAAAGAAAAGCAGCAGGUUAAUACCCCGCUGUUCUGACGGUACCCAAAGAAUAAGCACCGGCUAACUUCGUG
rnacentral:rRNA from 1 species